GUCACAUUCAGAACACUGGAUUUAAAGGAUCGGCAGUGAAUUGCAAGACGGACGCCUCUUCUCAAUUAUCUGUACAGGGAUAGAGAUGGACAAGUAAACAUGUUUGUAUGCUUGCAAGUGUGAGCGUGUGUUUGAGAGAACAAUAUCUGGAUAGCACAGCUGCACUUGUCAUGAGGAAGUUGAAACAAAGCUUCCAGAGAGACAGGAAAUGAUGUCCUUGCCUCAGAAAAACAAAAUUCCAUCUCUGUCAUUGGCUGCUCUGAAAGAUCUUCCACACAUUCCAGUGUUAUGUUCACUAGCGGAAUUCCUGGUGAAGAACUACACUACCCAUGAUCCUGAAGGGAAUCGAUCCACCAAUCAGAAAAUUGCAGCCAACAAAGGACACAAAAAGAGCUCUGCAGCGACCACCCACUCCUAUGACGCACUGUGAAUGAUGCAAUUAAGUCUCCCUACACUCUUAAACUAUACUGAUAUAUUUAAAAUAUAUGAAAAUUUAGCAAUGAAAUUAAAAUACAUUGAUUAUAUUCUUAUAAUCAACUUUAAAUCAAUAGUUUUAUAUUUUUUUCUAUCUUUAAUUUGAUUACGUUGUUUGCAAUGCUUCAUGGGAUUGUAGUUUAUUCCUUUUUGAAGAAAUUACAGUCUUGUACCUUUGUCUUUUUGUCAGAUUUUCAAAUACUUCUCUGCUUCAAAUCAU